GAUGAACGCUGGCGGCAUGCCUAAUACAUGCAAGUCGAGCGAACGGACCAGAAGCUUGCUUCUCUGAUGUUAGCGGCGGACGGGUGCGUAACACGUGGAUAACCUACCUAUAAGACUGGGGUAACUUCGGCAAACCGUAGCUAAUACCGGAUAAUAUUUUGAACCGCAUGGUUCCAAAGUGAAAGACGGUCUUUCUGUCACUUAUAGCUGGAUCCGCGCUGCAUUAGCUAGUUGGCAAGGUAACGGCUUACCAAGGCAGGGAUGGAUAGACGACCUGAGAGGGUGGUUGGACAGCCGGGCAGAGAGGCAGGGCCGCGACUCCGACGGUGAGCAGCGGUAGGGACUCUUACGCGAGGCGGGAGUGCGUGAUAGUGGAAAGCGGCGGGAGUGAUGAUGGAGUUCGGCUGGGAAAGUGCUGUAGUUAGGGGGGAAGAAAAGUGUAUGUAACCGGGCAGAUCAUGACGGUACCGAGUGAGAAAGCCACGGCUAACUACGUG
rnacentral:rRNA from 1 species